rnacentral:rRNA from 1 species
CCUUAGAGUUUGAUCCUGGCUCAGAGCGAACGCUGGCGGCAGGCUUAACACAUGCGCGUCGAGCGGGCGUAACAAUACGUCAGCGGAAGACGGGUGAGUAACGCGUGGGAACGUACCUUUUGGUUCGGAACAACACAGGGAAACUUGUGCUAAUACCGGAUAAGCCCUUACGGGGAAAGAUUUAUCGCCGAAAGAUCGGCCCGCGUCUGAUUAGCUAGUUGGUGAGGUAAUGGCUCACCAAGGCGACGAUCAGUAGCUGGUCUGAGAGGAUGAUCAGCCACAUUGGGACUGAGACACGGCCCAAACUCCUACGGGAGGCAGCAGUGGGGAAUAUUGGACAAUGGGGGCAACCCUGAUCCAGCCAUGCCGCGUGAGUGAUGAAGGCCCUAGGGUUGUAAAGCUCUUUUGUGCGGGAAGAUAAUGACGGUACCGCAAGAAUAAGCCCCGGCUAACUUCGUGCCAGCAGCCGCGGUAAUACGAAGGGGGCUAGCGUUGCUCGGAAUCACUGGGCGUAAAGGGUGCGUAGGCGGGUCUUUAAGUCAGGGGUGAAAUCCUGGAGCUCAACUCCAGAACUGCCUUUGAUACUGAAGAUCUUGAGUUCGGGAGAGGUGAGUGGAACUGCGAGUGUAGAGGUGAAAUUCGUAGAUAUUCGCAAGAACACCAGUGGCGAAGGCGGCUCACUGGCCCGAUACUGACGCUGAGGCACGAAAGCGUGGGGAGCAAACAGGAUUAGAUACCCUGGUAGUCCACGCCGUAAA